UACGUAGGGCGCAAGCGUUGUUCGGAUUCAUUGGGCGUAAAGGGUGCGUAGGCGGCGCGGUAAGUCGGGUGUGAAAUCUUGGAGCUUAACUCCGAAACUGCAUUCGAUACUGCCGUGCUUGAGGACUGGAGAGGAGACUGGAAUUUACGGUGUAGCGGCGAAAUGCGUAGAUAUCGUAAGGAAGACCAGUGGCGAAGGCGGGUCUCUGGACAGUUCCUGACGCUGAGGCACGAAGGCCAGGGGAGCAAACGGG
rnacentral:rRNA from 1 species